UACGGGGGGGGCAAGCGUUGCUCGGAAUUACUGGGCGUAAAGGGCUCGUAGGCGGCCAACUAAGUCAGACGUGAAGUCCCCAGGCUCAACCUGGGAACUGCGUCUGAUACUGGAUGGCUUGAAUUCGGGAGAGGGAUGCAGAAUUCCAGGUGUAGCGGUGAAAUGCGUAGAUAUCUGGAGGAAUACCGGUGGCGAAGGCGGCAUCCUGGACCGACAUUGACGCUGAGGAGCGAAAGCUAGGGGAGCAAACGGG
rnacentral:rRNA from 1 species